CUUAUUUUUUAUUUAUUUCCCAAUUUCGUGCAUUUGCAACCAUAGAGAGAGAAAGAAGCACAGGAGCUGGAGAAUAUUCUAAAGAGAUCUAUUCCCCCAGCCUUAUAAAUUAAACCAUGCAGCACUCUGCAAUGUUGUUCUUCCAAGCUGUAAACCUCUGAUGGAAAGAGUAUCAGAACGCUGAUCUUCACUCACUGCUAUGCGCUGGAAUCUUCCUCUCAUCAGGCAUCCGUUCCCAGCACUGUGCCAGACCUUUGUAAAUGGAAAUCAUAUGCAAAGAAAAGCAAAGAAAACCCCAAGGCACAGGGUCAGGAUAAUUAAUUAGAGCAUACUAUAUUAUGGAAGGAUGCUGAUCUACAGGGAUUUGACAGGACCCAUCAAAACAAAGUUUUGCAGAGCAGAGACUUUUCUUGUUGAACAUGAAUUUAUUUCACGGUCAUUUUCUUAGUGGAUAUCUGUUCACCGCUGUUUAAAAGCUCUAGAGUACCAUCAUCUUAUCUGUGCAGAAGAAUCCUCCAAUGAGCAUCCUACUUGAGCUGUGAACUUCCUUUCCAGAAAUGUAUUCAUGUAUAACAACAAUGUACUAUGCAAACAUGCCUGGUAACUAAGAGCUAAGACCCUACGGAUUGUACCUCCAGGGCCAGAUAGCUUCCAAUACCACCAAUCUCUUAAAGCUAUUGAGAAGCGAAUUACAGAAGAAAAAGGAACUAAUGCAAAGCAAGAGCAAAAAGAGGGGGAGGGAAAUGGUCCAAAACCAAACAGAGACUUGGAAGCUGGGAAAUCGCUGCCAUUUAUAUAUGGAGACAUUCCACCUAGGAUGGUAUCUGGACCCAUAUUAUGCCAAUCAAAAGUGUGUUUGAUCUAAUAGGGCUACAGCUUUUCAUGGGACAACUGAGGAAUAAGUGUUUGUUGUGGCCUUACAACACUUCUGUAGAUAUACCUUACGUCUAUAGGAGCAUAUCAAUAAAAGUAAGCAUUGUUUAUUUUCUGUCUCAAGGAACUGUAAUCUCUGCUCUUUAUAACUGUCCCUAGUUAUAGGUGGUAUGAAAACUUUUGGGGAGGUGGAAGGUUAUAGUUGUCCUCUUUGCUUUACCUUUUCUGUGCUAUUACUUUUACUAUUUGCCAAAUGUUAGCUGGUAAGCCAUAUCAUAAAUUCACCCCAGAUUCCAGGAAAUUACUGUUAAAAUCAUACUAAGGGUGAUAGUAUGAAAAAUAGCGUAAAUUUUUUUGGGGAUACCCUCCUUCCCCCCUACAUUUCCUAACA